rnacentral:rRNA from 1 species
AUUGAACGCUGGCGGCAGGCCUAACACAUGCAAGUCGAACGAGUGGCGGACGGGUGAGUAAUGUCUGGGAAACUGCCUGAUGGAGGGGGAUAACUACUGGAAACGGUAGCUCAUACCGCAUACCAUCGGAUGUGCCCAGAUGGGAUUAGCUUGUUGGUGGGGUAACGGCUCACCAAGGCGACGAUACCUAGCUGGUCUGAGAGGAUGACCAGCCACACUGGAACUGAGACACGGUCCCGACUCCUACGGGAGGCAGCAGUGGGGAAGAUUGCCAAAUGGGGGCAAGCCUGAUGCAGCCAUGCCGCGUGUAUGAAGAAGGCUUUCGGGUUGUAAAGUACUUUCAGCGGGGAGGCGUUACCCGCAGAAGAAGCACCGGCUAACUCCGUGCCAGCAGCCGCGGUAAUAC